rnacentral:rRNA from 2 species
UAUAACAUUAAACGACUCUCGGCAACGGAUAUCUCGGCUCUCGCAUCGAUGAAGAACGUAGCGAAAUGCGAUACUUGGUGUGAAUUGCAGAAUCCCGUGAACCAUUGAGUCUUUGAACGCAAGUUGCGCCCGAAGCCUUUAGGUCGAGGGCACGCCUGCUUGGGCGUCACGC